UCAUUCUCUCCCCUCUACCCAAAUGUGCAACGGCCGACCACUCCCAAGCCAAGGCUAAACGCGCCGGCCACCGCCCACGACGGCCUCUUUGGUCCGAACCGCUAUCCAAACCGACCGAGGAGCUGAACCAGUCCUAAUCAAGGCCAAACCGCGACCCCAAUUAGCCCCUUAUUUCUUCUUCCUCACUCAACUUAGAACCGAAAAGCCGAACCAAUUGGCUUUCUAACCCGGAGACUUCAACGCGGGCGAAAUCUCCAACCAAAGUUUGUUUGGGAUAAUCAGGGUGACUGACAAGUGCCUAGAGGCCCUUUCCAAGUCGUGUGCAAAUAAGAUCACGACUCUUGAUGUUAGUGGAUGUAUCGGUAUCAAGAGGCGCAGCCGUGAUGAUUUACUUAAGUUGUUCCCUUAUCUGAGAUGCUUCAAAGUGCAUAGCUAAUACAUCAGAGUGCUUGAAAGCUUUUAUAAUUGUUUUGGUAUAUUAAAGAGAGAGAAU